rnacentral:rRNA from 1 species
AGUGAACGCUGGCGGUAGGCCUAACACAUGCAAGUCGAACGGCAGCACAGUAAGAGCUUGCUCUUACGGGUGGCGAGUGGCGGACGGGUGAGUAAUACAUCGGAAUCUACUUUUUCGUGGGGGAUAACGUAGGGAAACUUACGCUAAUACCGCAUACGACCUACGGGUGAAAGCAGGGGAUCUUCGGACCUUUCGCGAUUGAAUGAGCCGAUGUCGGAUUAGCUAGUUGGCGGGGUAAAGGCCCACCAAGGCGACGAUCCGUAGGUGGUCUGAGAGGAUGAAUAGCCACACUGGAACUGAGGCACGGCCCACACUCCGACGGGAGGAAGCAGUGGGGAAUAUUGGACGAUGGGCGCAAGCCUGAUCCAGCCAUACCGCGUGGGUGAAGAAGGCCUUCGGGUUGUAGAGCCCUUUUGUUGGGAAAGAAAAGAAGCAGGUUAAUACCCCGCUGUUCUGACGGUACCCAAAGAAUAAGCACCGGCUAACUUCGUG